rnacentral:rRNA from 1 species
CAGCAGCCGCGGGAACACGUAGGUGGCAAGCGUUGUCCGGAAUUAUUGGGCGUAAAGGGCUCGCAGGCGGUUUCUUAAGUCUGGUGUGAAAGCCCCCGGCUCAACCGGGGAGGGUCAUUGGAAACUGGGAAACUUGAGUGCAGAAGAGGAGAGUGGAAUUCCACGUGUAGCGGUGAAAUGCGUAGAGAUGUGGAGGAACACCAGUGGCGAAGGCGACUCUCUGGUCUGUAACUGACGCUGAGGAGCGAAAGCGCGGGGAGCGAACAGGAUUAGAUACCCGUGUAGUCCCUGUCUCUUAUAA